GAGACACUUUCACUAUAUAUAGUGGCUCCCACUUCCAGAUCUUUCUCUCUGU
rnacentral:miRNA from 1 species